AACGGCCGCGGUAUUUUGACCGUGCAAAGGUAGCAUAAUCAUUAGUCUUUUAAAAGGAGGCUGGAAUGAAAGGUUUAACGAGACAUUAUCUGUCUCAAUCUUUAUUAUUAUAAUUUAACUUUUGAGUUAAAAGGCUUAAAUUUUGUUGGAAGACGAGAAGACCCUAUAGAGCUUUACGGUUAAAAUUUUNNNNNNNNNGCUUUUUCAUUAUUAAUUUUCAUUAANUUUAACUGUUUUGUUGGGGUGACAAAAAAUACAAAAAUAACUUUUNUUAUUANAGAGUCCAUUUAUUUAUGUUUUAUUAGAUCCAUUCAUAUUGAUUAUUAGAAUAAGUUACCUUA
rnacentral:rRNA from 1 species